GACGAACCGAGCGAACGUUGUUCGGAAUCACUGGGCUUAAAGGGUGCGUAGGCGGCGCGGUAAGUCGGGUGUGAAAUCUCGGAGCUUAACUCCGAAACUGCAUUCGAUACUGCCGUGCUUGAGGACUGGAGAGGAGACUGGAAUUUACGGUGUAGCGGUGAAAUGCGUAGAUAUCGUAAGGAAGACCAGUGGCGAAGGCGGGUCUCUGGACAGUUCCUGACGCUGAGGCACGAAGGUCAGGGGAGCAAACGGG
rnacentral:rRNA from 1 species